rnacentral:rRNA from 1 species
AUUGAACGCUGGCGGCAGGCCUAACACAUGCAAGUCGAGCGAGCGGCGGACGGGUGAGUAAUGUCUGGGAAACUGCCUGAUGGAGGGGGAUAACUACUGGAAACGGUAGCUAAUACCGCAUACCAUCAGAUGUGCCCAGAUGGGCGUAGCUGGUAGGUGGGGUAACGGCCCACCUAGGCGACGAUACCUAGCUGGUCUGAGAGGAUGACCAGCCACACUGGAACUGAGACACGGGCCCGACUCCUGCGGGAGGCAGCAGUGGGGAAUAUUGCACAAUGGGCGCAAGCCUGAUACAGCCAUGCCGCGUGUGUGAAGAAGGCCUUCGGGUUGUAAAGCACUUUCAGCGGGGAGGCGUUACCCGCAGAAGAAGCACCGGCUAACUCCGUGCCAGCAGCCGCGGUAAUAC